rnacentral:lncRNA from 1 species
CCUCCUCCUGGCAGCUGUGGAGAAAUGUCAGGGGCCGACUAGACAGAAGGCAUGCCGUUUUGAAACAGCUUUCAACAGUCACUAGCUUUGACUUACACUUCUGGCCAAGUCAGUCACCAGGACCCAUUUCCAUCCCGCCUCCUGUCUGAAACAACCAAAACAAACUCAAAACAUGUGAGACAAUUGUUUUCAUGACCCUGGACAUCAGGCCGUGGAAGACACUAAUCCCCGAGAGACAGAAAAAUGAGGUUGAGCCCAUGUCUGGGCCAAGUCACUACCUUGAGGGACUGCCCAGACCACAGAGCAGGAAGGGGACCCGGAUGGAGCCCAGCAGAAUCCUUGAGCUGACAGCAUAGUGGCUGGAGUUGGACAACUGAGAAUAGAGGACCCAGAGGUCCUGCUCUAGCAUCGCGCCAAACGCUGGUCAACACAGGUGUACAGAUGCCGCUCAACGUGGGAAAGGGUUAGAGGGACCUGCGCAACCCCGGCACAGCUGAAAAGAGUGCUGACAGGGGCAGGAGAACAGUUGUUAACUGCAUUCUGUAUGUCUAAAAGGUUAUGUAGGGGCCUGGAGUAAAGCACAUGCUUAGCAUGUGUGAGGCUUUGUGGGUUCAAUCCCCAGCAUCCCCCACCCAUGAAGGACAUGGGAGAUGUAUUAAUUAGCUGUCCUGUUGCUGAACCAAUAUUCUACACUUGCAAUUUAAAGGAGGAGAGGUUUAAUUUAGCCUAUGGUUUGGGAGAUUCAGUCCAUGGUCCGCUGGCUCCAAAGCUGGAACAUCAUUGUGGAAGGGUAUGGCGGAGCAAAGCUGCUCAAUUCAUGGUGGUUGGGAAGCAGAGCCAGGGAACAGCACUGGAGAGGAACAGGGGGGCACUAUGUAUGGUGCCCAUGGCCACACCUCCAUGACCCACCCAGGCACACCUAGGAGCUGUUCUAUCCUGCUGGUGUUUCUUCUUCUUCUUUUUUUUUUGGGUACUGGGGAUCGAAUUCCAGACCUUGCACUUGUGAGGCAGGCAGCAGAACCACUGAGAGCUAAAUCCCCGGCCCACUGCUGGUGUUUCUUAAUCUGAUGAUGCUGAUGUUUCAGGAUGAGAUCACUGAAGACAUUACAAAGUUCAAGUUGAACUUCUAGAGAUGAAAACAAUGCCUGGGGUGGGUGUGGUGGCACAUCCCAGUGCUCAGGAGACCCUGUCUCAAAGAUAAAUAAAUAAAUAAAAUGAAAAGAACAUCAAUGAUUUGGAAUUGGCUAUGCUGGUUACUGAGAAGAACCUGUCUGUGAGUUACAGGACAGGGCUAAUCAGCCAUGCAUUUACAUGAUCCUUUUGAGACUGCAGACACACCGGGAUGGGGGUUUCUGGGGAUGUCCAAUGAUUCCCAGAAGUCCCCAGUCAUUGUCCUGGGCCUGUGGUCAACUGGAUGUCUCGAGAGGCAGAGCCCACCUGGCUGAGACCCCAUGCAGACAGAGACAUCCUUUCCUGGGACAGAAGCAUCCCUGGCUGUGCAGAUCCCAGAGCUGGGACAGCAGAACUGAGAUGAUGUUCAGAGACCCCAGCCACCAGCCAGGCCUUUACAGAUGGC